rnacentral:lncRNA from 1 species
CGAAUGGGCCAUUCGGUUCGCGUUUUUGGCACUUCUUCUCGCGAUGAUCCGUGAUCCGAGUAUGCCGGUGUUUAUUGAAUUGUUGGGUUAGUCAUAUUGUUCUGAUCACUUGAGGGCUUUGCAUGUGCAGGUGGAGUCGUCGAGUGCGAUUGAUCGGCAAGUCGCUAUCUCUCUUGGAAGUUGUAGCACGAGACCACUUUGCGCAUCCAUUCAUUGAUUCUUGGCAAGCGCUUACUUUGUUGCUGCUUAUUCUCCGCACAACUUUCCAUCACUUUAAUUAUGCCCAGCUUACCAUACGCGUAUUCUAUACACGUAUUUACCUGGCCAAUCGAAUUGCUAUGAAUACGUAUUUUUUAAUUUCCUUUCCGUUUCCCAGCCUGGUCCUCUAUACAGCAGUACGGGCUAGUUACUUUGUUAUCGGUAUCGUUACUCAUAAGUCCUCUGUCCUAUGUGAGACGGUAGACAAGGCACGGUUUCAGGAUUACAGAACUACCAGGCCGUGCGCUCGAUGGAAAAGGUUUCCAGCGUCUCGUGGAUGACUUGCAUGUGUUUCGACCCUUCAAGGUUACUGGACAGACAGUGUCUGGAACUGGAGUGAGGGUUCAACGUUGCCAAAGAUAGAUUGCUUUGUGUGCGCUUUGACUGUGAUCUUGAUGCAGUUAUUGUUACAAACAUACUUAUAGAGACCAGCAUACGUACACCCUAUAGACCUCGAGUCAUGGGUUCCUGGCGCCGUACGGAGGGAUGUCAGACGGGAAGAUGAAGCUCUGACCAGCGAACCAUAUCCACGGAUGAUGUCAGCCCGUACGUCUAUUUUGGCCGAUACAAACUAGGAGGCGCAUGAUGACGCGUCCCUUGAACUCAAUCUUGAGGGCAUUAGUUCUGGCGCCGAGGCGGUGUUUAGAUUAAACACUUCCUUCCUUGACAUAUUCAAGCUCAAUUCUUCCGUACGGAGCGGCCUAGGACUGGCCCCCUUCAAGGCUACCGCUCAGACCGACGGGAGAUGUCGAUCGUGUUGUACGGGCCCGUCAGGUACCAGGCUGGGCUGGUACCGAAGCUGUUUAUUAUCGAGAACUGCAUGCUUGUAUAUGAUUCGCCCCUCUGAGGAAAUAUUUAAUUCAGAAGUCGUAUCCCAUGCACCGCCUCCAGCGUCAAGAUAUCAAAAAACGCCCUGCCCUGCCACCGCACUCCCACCAGUUGAUACGCGUACGAGCCUGCUGCGCGGCGGAGAAUACUGAGAGGAGACGCAGCGGCUAGAUGAAUAUCUGUUUAGUCUACGUAUUUCGGUGACAUGUCGUCAUGGACCAGGCUGAUGCUGCUCGCAACUUCGUGAAGCAGAAACUUUCAACGUCUGCGCGAUACUAGGACAAACCGGAUUGCAAAGUAGUGCCCUUCAGAAUUCGCCCCGAGCCCGAAUUGAUCAGGUGCAACGGGAAUCAGCUCGGAUGAACUGUCUACACCUAUACAGCAUUGUCUCUCUGGACCCUUUCGUCUCUGUAAGACGCAAGGUUGGCCUCGCUCGUCCGUCUGAUAAAGUUUUCAGAAGCGAGGUUUAGAGGCUUAGAGGCUUAGAGGCUAAGUUGGAACAAUGCUUCCAAUGCAUUUGGACCUACGAUCCAGAUGAAGUUGGCGAGUCUGCGAGGAUGGCCAAUUCAAGCAUUCGAUAAGUCUGUGAUUUUUCUCAAACUUGCAUAGGUUGAUGGGAGAUUACAAGAUACUUGAUACAGCAUGGUAUCAAGUCAGGUAGGUGCUCCCGUUGGCUCCCACGGUGCUCACGCCAGCAGGAUGCAUCCAGUCGGUCAUCUCCUGGGUUAUCUAGUAUGAUUGGCACCUUGGUAUCACAGAGGAAUGAACAGAUUGACUUGGAUUGCGUUCCCUCCGUGUCCUUCUCCAAAAAGUCGCCAGUCUCCCAGCUAAUGUUAAUUCGUGGGUCUUGUAGAAAUGUGGAUGCCGCAACCGCUGGCAUGAAUCUACUACGUAAUCCGGUUGCCCAAAGCGGCAGGAUUCUGGAAUCUCACAGUUCCAGAUGUCCCCGAUACGGCUUGUAGAUCCACGGACCUUGUCGAUCGGUCCAUACCCAUUGUAGAAAAGAAUAUCACGUCUGGCCAUAAUGCUCAUAUCACCACGUUGAUAUAUCCAACGCUUACGGUGUCGUUCCUGGUACAUCUACCCAGGUAGAAGACAUUGUACUCCUAGAUAGGUUCACGUUGGAGUAGAACAACCGUAACACCGCCCGAACGCCAACCCAGACCAAAUAUAUACAUUACAUAUCCC